GAUGAACGCUAGCGGCAGGCUUAACACAUGCAAGUCGAGGGGUAGAGGCUUUCGGGCCUUGAGACCGGCGCACGAGUGCGUAACGCGUAUGCAAUCUGCCUUGUACUGGGGGAUAGCCCAGAGAAAUUUGGAUUAAUACCCCAUAGUAUUUUCGGUUGGCAUCAACUGAUUAUUAAAGUUUUUCGGUACAAGAUGAGCAUGCGUCCCAUUAGCUAGUUGGUAUGGUAACGGCAUACCAAGGCUACGAUGGGUAGGGGUCCUGAGAGGGAGAUCCCCCACACUGGUACUGAGACACGGACCAGACUCCUACGGGAGGCAGCAGUGAGGAAUAUUGGUCAAUGGUCGCAAGACUGAACCAGCCAUGCCGCGUGCAGGAUGAAGCAUCUAUGGUGUGUAAACUGCUUUUGUACGGGAAGAAACACUGCUACGUGUAGCAGCUUGACGGUACCGUAAGAAUAAGGAUCGGCUAACUCCGUGCCAGCCGCCGCCGUAACAC
rnacentral:rRNA from 1 species